AUUGAACGCUGGCGGCAGGCCUAACACAUGCAAGUCGAGCGGUAGCACAGGGAGCUUGCUCCUGGGUGACGAGCGGCGGACGGGUGAGUAAUGUCUGGGAAACUGCCUGAUGGAGGGGGAUAACUACUGGAAACGGUAGCUAAUACCGCAUAACGUCGCAAGACCAAAGAGGGGGACCUUCGGGCCUCUUGCCAUCAGAUGUGCCAGGAUGGGAUUAGCUAGUAGGUGGGGUAACGGCUCACCUAGGCGACGAUCCCUAGCUGGUCUGAGAGGAUGACCCGCAACACUGGACGUGAGACACGGUCCAGAUUCCUACGGGAGGAAGCAUUGGGACAUAUUGCACAAUGGGCGCAAGCCUGAUGCAGCCAUGCCGCGUGUAUGAAGAAGGCCUUCGGGUUGUAAAGUACUUUCAGCGGGGAGGAAGGUGUUGAGGUUAAUAACCUCAGCAAUUGACGUUACCCGCAGAAGAAGCACCGGCUAACUCCCUGGCAGCAGCCGCAGUAAUAC
rnacentral:rRNA from 1 species